rnacentral:rRNA from 1 species
UUAUCUCUGUAGAGUCUGCAUAUCAAUAAGCGGAGGAAAAGAAACUAACAAGGAUUCCCCUAGUAACGGCGAGUGAAGCGGGAAGAGCUCAAAUUUGAAAUCUUCAAGGUUUACCUUGACGAAUUGUAGUUUAAAGAAGUGUUUUCUGUUAGUGGAGUAGUAAAAGUUCUUUGGAAUAGGACAUCAUAGAGGGUGAGAAUCCCGUAUUUGGACUAUUCCUUCUAGCGUUGUGAUACACUUUCAAAGAGUCGGAUUGUUUGGGAAUGCAGUCCAAAAUGGGUGGUAAAUUUCAUCUAAAGCUAAAUAUUGGCGAGAGACCGAUAGCGAACAAGUACCGUGAGGGAAAGAUGAAAAGAACUUUGAAAAGAGAGUUAAACAGUACGUGAAAUUGUCAAAAGGGAAGCGUUUGACACCAGUGUUGUUUUUCCGAAAAUCAAUUAUAAAUGUUUUGUUUCUGAGGAGUGAUGACUUCAUCGGCUUCCUUCUCUCUUCACGAAACUUUUGUAAUGCACUUUUCGGUUAACAAGUCAACAUCAAUUUCUUUUGUUGUAAAAGAGUAUUCGGAAGGUGGCUUUCUUUUCGGAGAAAGUGUUUAUAGCCCUAUACUUCUACAAUCGGAGAGAUUGAGGUCUGCAGCGUAGAUCCUUCGGGGUUAGAUACAUUUGUGCUAAGUUAUAGCUUUUCAUAGACAACUUGUUGACUAUGUUUAGUCUUGUAGCUUACUCGCUUAUGCUAUUUUACCUACGCUUAGGAUGUUGAGCGCAUGUCUCUCUCU